AGAACCACACUGGAAUUCACACGGGAGAGAAGCCGUAUUGCUGUAAUGAAUGUGGUAAACAGUUUUCACAAAUGUGUCAUCUUCACAAACACAGUAGAGUUCACACCGGAGAGAAGCCAUAUUGCUGUAAUGAAUGUGGUAAACAGUUUUCACGAAUUGGCCAUUUUCAGAGACACGCUAGAGUUCACACUGGAGAGAAGCCAUAUUGUUGUAAUGAAUGUGGUAAACAGUUUUCAAGAAAGAGUAACCUUUGUAGUCACAAAAGAAUUCACACCGGAGAGAAGCCAUAUUGCUGUAAUGAAUGUGGUAAACAG